UAGUGGAAGCGUCUGGAAAGUCGCACGAUACAGGGUGAAAGUCCCGUACACAAAAGUGCAUGUGUUGUGAACUCGAAGAGUAGGGCGGGACACGUGGUAUCCUGUCUGAAUAUGGGGGGACCAUCCUCCAAGGCUAAAUACUCCUGACUGACCGAUAGUGAACCAGUACCGUGAGGGAAAGGCGAAAAGAACCCCGGCGAGGGGAGUGAAAAAGAACCUGAAACCGUGUACGUACAAGCAGUGGGAGCA
rnacentral:rRNA from 1 species